UACAGAGGGUGCAAGCGUUGUUCGGAAUUAUUGGGCGUAAAGCGCGUGUAGGCGGCUUUGCAAGUCGGGUGUGAAAUCCCUCAGCUUAACUGAGGAAGUGCGCCCGAAACUGCAGAGCUUGAGUACCGGAGAGGAUGGUGGAAUUCCCCAAGUAGAGGUGAAAUUCGUAGAUAUGGGGAGGAACACCGGUGGCGAAGGCGGCCACCUGGACGGUAACUGACGCUGAGACGCGAAAGCGUGGGGAGCGAACAGG
rnacentral:rRNA from 1 species